AUUGAACGCUGGCGGCGUGCUUAACACAUGCAAGUCGAUCGGUAACGCGGGGGCAACCCUGGCGACGAGAGGCGGACGGGUGAGGAACGCUUGGGAAUCUGCCUAUCAGCGGGGGACAACCCGGGGAAACUCGGGCUAAUACCGCAUACGCUCUACGGAGGAAAGCCGGGGACCGCAAGGCCUGGCACUGAUAGAUGAGCCCAAGUCGGAUUAGCUAGUUGGCGGGGUAACGGCCCACCAAGGCGACGAUCCGUAGCUGGUCUGAGAGGACGAUCAGCCACACUGGGACUGAGACACGGCCCAGACUCCUACGGGAGGCAGCAGUGGGGAAUAUUGGACAAUGGGGGAAACCCUGAUCCAGCGACGCCGCGUGGGUGAAGAA
rnacentral:rRNA from 1 species